ACCUCAUUUGUCCAUCACUGAGCAACAGCUGUUGUUUCUGAGGUCUUGUGGCUUCACAAUACCUCAGACAGCUGGUAUACUAAAUGUGUCUGCGCGUACUGUUUAUCGACGUAUGAGGCAAACUGUUCAACCUGGCUCAGGCAUAUUCAAGUAUGUCAGAAUCUGAACUGGAUCAACUAGUCACAGAGCUGGUGGCUGGCAAUGACAUGGUGGGUCCUGAGUCUGUAAGAGCGGCGCUGCAGGCACAGGGACUCCAUGUACAACGAAGAAGGGUGCGAGAAAGUAUGCUGCGUACAAACCCUGGGGCAGCUGCUCUUAGGUGUUUGCUGCAGAGACCAGAGAGACGGAAUUAUCGUGUACAAGGUCCUAACUCUUUGUAGCACAUUGACGGUAACCACAAGCUGAUAAGGUGGAGGAUAGUCAUCCAUGGAGGGAUAGAUGGCUACAGUCGCCUACUAGUUUUCCUCCGAGCCUCCUCCAACAAUCGCAGCAGCACAGUGUUGGACAGUUUUGUCAGUGCUGCGGCUCGCUACAGCUUGCCCUCCCGGGUCAG